UGAGACACGGCCCAGACUCCUACGGGAGGCAGCAGUGGGGAAUAUUGCACAAUGGAGGAAACUCUGAUGCAGCGACGCCGCGUGAAGGAAGAAGGUCUUCGGAUUGUAAACUUCUGUUGUCAGGGACGAUAAUGACGGUACCUGACGAGAAAGCCACGGCUAACUACGUGCCAGCAGCCGCGGUAAAACGUAGGUGGCAAGCGUUGUCCGGAAUUACUGGGUGUAAAGGGAGCGCAGGCGGAUUGACAAGUUGGAGGUGAAAUUCAUGGGCUCAACCCAUGACCUGCCUUCAAAACUGUCAAUCUUGAGUGGUGUAGAGGUAGGCGGAAUUCCCGGUGUAGCGGUGGAAUGCGUAGAUAUCGGGAGGAACACCAGUGGCGAAGGCGGCCUACUGGGCACUAACUGACGCUGAGGCUCGAAAGCAUGGGUAGCAAACAGGAUUAGAUACCCUGGUAGUCCAUGCCGUAAACGAUGAUUACUAGGUGUGGGAGGAUUGACCCCUUCCGUGCCGC
rnacentral:rRNA from 1 species